rnacentral:rRNA from 1 species
CACGUAGGGGGCAAGCGUUGUCCGGAUUUAUUGGGCGUAAAGAGCUCGUAGGUGGUUCGGUAAGUCGGGUGUGAAACCUCCAGGCUCAACCUGGAGACGCCACCCGAUACUGCUGUGACUGGAGUCCGGUAGGGGAGCGUGGAGUUCCUGGUGUAGCGGUGAAAUGCGCAGAUAUCAGGAGGAACACCAGCGGCGAAGGCGGCGCUCUGGGCCGGUACUGACACUGAGGAGCGAAAGCGUGGGUAGCAAACAGG